CCUAUCAUUACUUCCUUGGCUGCUUGGAUGCUGCCUUCUCUGAUCCUCACAGUGGGAAUCCAUCCCCUGCCUUCCUGUCCUCUGCAUCAUGGCCACUCCAGCAGCAAUCAUCUUGUUCCUUUUUCUACGGUGUUUGAAGCAACUUUGCCCUUGUGAUCCCAGAUGUUUCCUGACUUCCAGGACUGAUCUUGUUCAUCUAUGUAACUUCCAAGGCUCAAGAGAGACUUUGAGAACUAAUUUCUUCAGAUGGUCCAUGUCUUUGUGAGCCAUUCUCCAAACAUGUUGUCUCAGCCACCCAAGGGCUGAGAAGGGACACUUUCGCCAUGUCUACUGCUAUCAUUUCCCUGCACAGCCAUCAAAAACCGUCCCUUUCCUGGACUUCCUAUAAAUUGUAACACAAUGAUUCAUGUCCUAACUCACGAUUUCUGAGUUGCUGGUGGUUUGAUGAGUUUAUUACCCCAUGUCUUCACUGCCUUGGGAUCCAUUUCAGCUCACUGCAGUUUUGUUACAUUUACCUUUCUAAGAAUGUCCUUGCCUGUACUUUUAAAUCAAUUCUUGUGUUCACAAAAAUCUAAUUCCUUCCAACCUGUGUAAAUCCACUCUUCUGCUUUCAUUUUGUCUUACUAGAGUUUGAUGGCCAAGGCAGGAACAUAGUAACUCAGUCAGCCUCCCUUCCUCUGCAUCACCAAGAAAAGGUUGGGGGCGGGGCUUAAGACUACAAUGAUCACCUAAUGUGUGCAGGGGUGUAGGACGGAUAUCAAAG
rnacentral:lncRNA from 1 species